rnacentral:rRNA from 1 species
UACAGAGGUCCCAAGCGUUGUUCGGAUUCACUGGGCGUAAAGGGUGCGUAGGCGGUCGGGUAAGUCUGAUGUGAAGUCUCACAGCUUAACUGUGAAACUGCAUUGGAUACUAUCCGGCUUGAGGAGUGGAGGGGAGACUGGAAUACUUGGUGUAGCAGUGAAAUGCGUAGAUAUCAAGUGGAACACUAGUGGCGAAGGCGAGUCUCUGGACAUUUCCUGACGCUGAGGCACGAAAGCCAGGGGAGCAAACGGG